rnacentral:rRNA from 1 species
UACGAAGGGGGCUAGCGUUGCUCGGAAUCACUGGGCGUAAAGGGUGCGUAGGCGGGUCUUUAAGUCAGGGGUGAAAUCCUGGAGCUCAACUCCAGAACUGCCUUUGAUACUGGAGAGCUCGAGUCCGGGAGAGGUGAGUGGAACUGCGAGUGUAGAGGUGAAAUUCGUAGAUAUUCGCAAGAACACCAGUGGCGAAGGCGGACUCACUGGCCCGGUACUGACGCUGAGGUGCGAAAGCGUGGGGAGCAAACAGG